rnacentral:rRNA from 1 species
ACUCCUACGGGAGGCAGCAGUGGGGAAUUUUGGACAAUGGGCGAAAGCCUGAUCCAGCAAUGCCGCGUGUGUGAAGAAGGCCUUCGGGUUGUAAAGCACUUUUGUCCGGAAAGAAAUCCUUGGCUCUAAUACAGUCGAGGGAUGACGGUACCGGAAGAAUAAGCACCGGCUAACUACGUGCCAGCAGCCGCGGUAAUACGUAGGGUGCGAGCGUUAAUCGGAAUUACUGGGCGUAAAGCGUGCGCAGGCGGUUUGCUAAGACCGAUGUGAAAUCCCCGGGCUCAACCUGGGAACUGCAUUGGUGACUGGCAGGCUAGAGUAUGGCAGAGGGGGGUAGAAUUCCACGUGUAGCAGUGAAAUGCGUAGAGAUGUGGAGGAAUACCGAUGGCGAAGGCAGCCCCCUGGGCCAAUACUGACGCUCAUGCACGAAAGCGUGGGGAGCAAACAGGAUUAGAUACCCCUGUAGUCCCAUGA